UAUGGAGCUGUUCAUUCUCUCUGAUCUAUGCGCAUCAUAGCAAUACUUAUAGGAGGAGCUCGAUUAGUUUCAAGCAACUGCUUCACUGCUAGCCAUUGUAACUGAUCUGCAACAGAUCAUAGCUGUUGCAAACUUCCAACUACCUCCGUUGAUCACUCCUUGAUUCAUUCUAAGUGUUUCAUCAUCUCAAAAUACCUAGCAGUAUUUAAUUUCGUGGUGUUAAUUCGAUUUGGUUUGUUUAGAGUAGCUCGAAGUAUCCACUGUCAUGAUAUUUCCCAAUUUUUAGUUUAUUGCUAUUGCUUAUUACUAACGAGUAAUAUUAUCACUUUUCCAAAUAUAAACUACAUUAUUAUUACUAUUAAGCUACAUAUAUUUCAUUAUUUUUUAUACUACAACUUUCAUUUCUUAAAAUAAUCUAAUAAAUUAAUUUUAAAAACAAUAUAAACAAUAAUUUGUGUAACAUAAAUAUACCCGGAUUCUUGAUUGGAUUCUUGAUUCAGUGUUCUACCUCGGCGCAGCACAUAAGCCCAACACACUCAAAACAGAAGCAGCGGCAACACCAAUGUGUGUGCGUGGAUAGUGGUACACGCCCAAGAUUGAAAAACAGCCGCGAUGGAUGACAUAUAGAGUUAAUUAUCCGUUAUCGUUAUCACCAUGAUUGAAAAACAGUUGUAACGCGAAAAUCACUUGAUUUAUGUUGUUUCCGUAGAAUAUCAAGCAGUGUAGUUAUAUUCGAAUGAUUUCAAAGCUUCUACCGAUGCGAAUAUACUCGAAAAAAUCACGAAAUUAGAGUUUAGAGAUGGAUUUGGAGAUUAAAAAAAUGAACUCAGAAGCCGUCCUGCUAGAGCUUUCGACGUUUCUAACAGGGCGGAUCAAUCGCCGACGAAUUUGAUUGUUAUGGUCAAUGGAAUUAUUGGAAGUGCUGAAGAUAUGCAACGAAGCAAUUUGCGAAGGCCUAUCCUAGUGAAGUUGCAGUGCAUUGUGAGUGUGAAUUUGGUAAAUUCUGUGUCUUGAUUUUAUAGUUAACAACGCCUCAAUGUUGAUGAGGUUUCUCUGUUAUGAACAACUACUGGAGUCGAUACUACAAUAUCGGUCUCAUCCACGGUGCUAAGUUAUUUCUUGAUACAAUACGUGAUGCAAAAGAAAUGUGCACUUUUUUGCCUUUUACAUAUAAUCUUCUCUUCUUUGGUGCUUCAAAACUUCUCUAAAUGGAUGUGCCUGCAAAUAGUGUGAGUACUCUCUGUAGUAACAUAGUGUUUAACUCUAUUGCUUGAGCACGGAGUAACGCGCAUCUUAAUAAUGCUUACGAGAUUGCAUAAUUUUGUACUAGAUAGACCUUAAUUAAUCACAUUCUGAAGCUAUGUUUUUUAUUUUGUUUCAAAGAAAACUUGUUUUGCUGUCAUGGCUAGAAAGUAGAUGAAUGAAGCCAAAAGCUUCAAACGUUAUUGGAAAUGUUUCAAAUCAAGUUGCUAUAUCCAGGCAGUAAAUCCAAUUCUUCAAUGUUGACACUCGGUGGAGUUGACGCCGAGGGGAAGAGAUUAACCGAUGAGGUCUGUUAUAUCCAAUGAAAGAUAACUUUUUUCAUUAUAUAUCGUGAUCUCCUCAUGAAUCAUCAAUAUAUGAUCAGCUUAGUUCUUGUUUUCACCUUAUAAUCUCCUCAUGAAUCAUCAAUAUAUGAUCAACUUAAAUCUUGUUUUCACCUUCUAUCCAUCAAGCAUAAUUGACUAGGUCACUAGAGCCUUCACUAGAUCAAAAUCUCCUGUAGAAAUACAGCUUAAAUCUGCAUAUUAAUGACUGAUUUCUGUUGUUGUUCGUCAUUCAAAUCUUGAGAAGAUUUCUUUUGCCGGUCACUCCCUUGGUGGUUUGGUUGCAAGGUAUGCUAUUGCUGUGCUUUACCAACAACAUUCGACAAGAAAACAUUCUGACAAAAAAGGUUAGAAAAUCCCCUUUAGAAGAGAAAACAAGAUGGAUAAUAGCUGGACUUGAACCAAUGAAUUUCAAGACCUCCGCAACACCUCAUCUUUGAGCAAGAGGUCACAGACAGGUUGUCCUCGUUACAUGUCUUCUUCUCUUUCUCUCAUAAUGGAUUUAUUGCAAUUUUCUUGGACUGUCUUAUGCAUCCGUUGGCCUCGAAAAUUUGCAGGAUUGCUUUCGACAAUGUGUACUUGAUAUAUGCAUCUCAUGUGUAGAUUUAUCUUUUCUUUCCGAGAAAUUCUAUUGCAUAUUACAUGCCUUGUACUUGAUCAUUUGAUCGGUCAUUUAGAUUUUCAUGCGCUCUACUCUUUUGACAUUCAUCAUUGCUUCCAUGCUGCUCGAAUCGUUUGCUUUCUCCAAGCGGUUUUCGCAGCUUGGAGAAAGCAACAUUGCAUGCUUGAGAAAUACUGCGCAGGACAGGAAAGCACUUAUUCUUGAAGAACAUCCAUCGACAACGGGAGUCCUCCUCCUCUGCUUCAGAUGACCAAUGAUUCUGAAUUCUGAUGAUCUUAAGUUCAUGUCAGCCUUUUCUUCCAAGUGUUGAAUUCUUACAUAAAACUACUGAAACUCCGUGAUUCUUAAUCUCGUUCCAGAUCUGCAUUGCAGUUGUUUAUAAGGCGUGUGGCCUAUGCCAACCACCAGUUUUGAUCGUAUCCCUUUUAUUCUAACCAUCAUUAUAUCUUUAAGUAUUAUUUUUUCUCAGAUUGGUUGCAACCAUGACAGGUUUAACAUAGGUUUCAGUACAAGUAUACAAGGGCCUCUCGCCUACACCACGAUUCAGGCUAGUAAUCGGACACAAUCAUGCGAUCGUGUACCAUAUGGAGCAAUGCAUUGUUUUCUCGAGAAUGAGUUACUAAAGUAAUGGUGAUUUUUGCUUGCCAAUGUGAUAUUAUACAACAUAUGAUUGUCCACUUCCAAUUUACCAACUACUGUAAAUUUUGUUGAAAGGUAAUUUCGAAUGUGACAAUCAAUUUAAUUUAUUGCUUUGGAAGACGAUCCAAGAUAGGUCAAAUGUAAUAA